AAUAAACGCUGGCGGCGUGCCUAACACAUGCAAGUCGAGCGAGAAAAGUCUUCGGACUUAGUAAAGCGGCAGACGGGUGAGUAAUGCGUAGGAAUCUGCCCUUCAGUGAGGAAUACCCUCGAGAAAUCGAGGUUAAUACUGCAUACGUCCCUUCGGGGAGAAAGAUGGCCUCUUUGCUGUCGCUGAAGGAUGAGCCUGCGUGCUAUCAGCUAGUUGGUAGGGUAAAGGCCUACCAAGGCUAUGACGGCUAGCCGGCCUGAGAGGGUGUACGGCCACACUGGAACUGAGACACGGUCCAGACUCCUACGGGAGGCAGCAGUGGGGAAUCUUGCGCAAUGGGCGAAAGCCUGACGCAGCGACGCCGCGUGGAGGAUGAAGGUCUUCGGAUUGUAAACUUCUGUUAAGUGGGAAGAAAACCUUAGUUCUAAUAAAGCUAGGGCAUGACGGUACCAUUAAAGAAAGCACCGGCUAACUUCGUGCCAGCAGCCGCCGUAA
rnacentral:rRNA from 1 species